GUGGAUGUCCUUUCUGUUUGUUAGUUUUCCUUCUAACAGAGAGGACCCUCAGCUGCAGGUCUGUUGGAAUACCCUGCCUUGUGAGGUGUCAGUGUGCCCCUGCUGGGGGGUGCCUCCCAGUUAGGCUGCCUGGGGGUCAGGGGUCAGGGACCCACUUGAGGAGGCAGUCUGCUGGUUCUCAGAUCUCCAGCUGCAUGCUGGGAGAACCAGUGCUCUCUUCAAAGCUGUCAGACAGGGACAUUUAAGUCUGCAGAGGUUACUGCUGUCUUUUUGUCUGUGCCCCGCCCCCAGAGGUGGAGCCUACAGAGGCAGGCAGGACUCCUUGAGCUGUGGUGGGCUCCACCCAGUUCGAGCUUCCAGGCUGCUUUGUUUACCUAAUCAAGCCUGGGCAAUGGCAGGCGCCCCUCCCCCAGCCUCGCUGCCGCCUUGCAGUUUGAUCUCAGACUGCUGUGCUAGCAAUCAGCGCGACUCUGUGGGCGUAGGACCCUCCAAGCCAGGUGCCGGAUAUAAUCUCGUCGUGCGCCGUUUUUUAAGCCCGUCGUAAAAGCGCAGUAUUCGGGUGGGAGUGACCCGAUUUUCCAGGUGCCGUCCGUCACCCCUUUCUUUGACUCAAAAAGGGAACUGGCUGACCCCUUGCGCUUCCCAAGUGAGGCAAUGCCUCGCCCUGCUUAGGCUCGCGCACGGUGCAGGCACCCACUGACCUGCGCCAACUGUCUGGCACUCCCUAGUGAGAUGAACCUGGUACCUCAGAUGGAAAUGCAGAAAUCACCUGUCUUCUGCGUCGCUCACGCUGGGAGCCGUAGACCGGAGCUGUUCCUAUUCGGCCAUCUUGGCUCCUCCACCCGGAUGAUUUUUCUUACUUUCUAUAGUCCUCAUUCUAUAACUUUUGAUCCAAAUUAUUCCAGAGAUUGGAUUAAAAACAAAUGGAUGUGGCAUACAGGGAGCAUCUCAAAUCAUUCAUUCUCACCAGCAGGUCUCAUGUGCUCCGAAACCAACUUGAAGCACUCUCCUUCUUCCUCUAGUUCUUUAGAUCAAGAGGAACUACUUGAAGAGCAGCACUCAACAAAUCUGCACAUCGACCUGGUUUAAAUGCUAAGAUCCUGCCCUUGUAGAUUCGAUGCCAUAAUGAUGAGACUUUCACAAGGUCAAGGGAGAAGUGUGAAAGAGGACUAAUACGUUCCCCAUCAAGCCUCCAGAUGAGAACCCUGUCCUGACCAACAUUUUGAUUGCAGCUUUGCAGAGGACCGAGAUAAACCAUAACUAGACUCCUCACCCAUAGACACUGUGAGAUAAUAAAUGUGUGGUGUUUUAUACUGCUAUAUUUGUAUGCAACUCUGAAAAUUAAUACGUGCUUAACUUUCAUUUAAACUAUGAAAUAUAUUUGAUAAAAAAUAAUAUAUUCAUGUUUUGACAGAAUAAAUAUCUGCAAAAUAACAUAAGUAUUUUUUAUUUUAAUAAAUAGAGUUUUCAUUUCUGGAAUUUAUGUUUUAUUCUGUUUUGAAUAUGUUUGGUCACUUUUAUCACCUAUUGUGUGUGCUCAUAUUUUUAAUCCCUCCAUUUAUUUAUUUAAGAGGUACUUGUUUUAAACUGUGUCUAUUAAAUUCAAUAUUUCACGUUAUU
rnacentral:lncRNA from 1 species